AUUGAACGCUGGCGGCAUGCUUUACACACGCAAGUCGAACGGCAGCACGGGUGCUUGCACCUGGUGGCGAGUGGCGAACGGGUGAGUAAUACAUCGGAACGUACCCAGUUGUGGGGGAUAACUAACCGAAAGGUUAGCUAAUACCGCAUACGACCUGAGGGUGAAAGCGGGGGACCGUAAGGCCUCGCGCAAUUGGAGCGGCCGAUGUCUGAUUAGCUAGUUGGUGAGGUAAAGGCUCACCAAGGCGACGAUCAGUAGCUGGUCUGAGAGGAUGAUCAGCCACACUGGGACUGAGACACGGUCCAGACUCCUACGGGAGGCAGCAGUGGGGAAUUUUGGACAAUGGGGGAAACCCUGAUCCAGCCAUUCCGCGUGAGUGAAGAAGGCCUUCGGGUUGUAAAGCUCUUUCGGCAGGGAAGAAACGCUCUGGCUUAAUACGCCGGGGUAAUGACGGUACCUGAAGAAGAAGCACCGGCUAACUACGUGCCAGCCGCCGCCGUAAGAC
rnacentral:rRNA from 1 species